rnacentral:rRNA from 1 species
GACGAACGCUGGCGGCGUGCUUAACACAUGCAAGUCGAACGAAGUGGCGAACGGGUGAGUCACGCGUAAUCAACCUGCCCUUCAGAGGGGGACAACAGUGGGAAACGACUGCUAAAACCGCAUACUGAAGGAGGGGCGUGCGUCUGAGUGGCUAGUUGGAGGGGUAACGGCCCCCCAAGGCGAUGAUCAGUCGCCGGUCUGCGUGGAGGAACGGCCACAGUGGGACUGGGACACGGCCCAGACUCCGACGGGAGGCAGCCGGGGGGAAUCUUUGGAAAUGGACGAAAGUCUGACGGAGCAACGCCGCGUGAGUGAUGACAGCCUUCGGGUUGUAAAGCUCUGUUAAUCGGGACGCGGUACCGGAAUAGAAAGCCACGGCUAACUACGUGCCAGCAGCCGCGGUAAUAC